GACGAACGCUGGCGGCGUGCUUAACACAUGCAAGUCGAACGGUGACCCUCGGAGCUUGCUACGGGGUGAACAGCGGCGAACGGGUGAGUAACACGUGAGUAACUUGCUCCUGACUCUGGAAUAAGCGAUGGAAACGGCGUCUAAUACCGGAUAAGAAACGCUAUCGCAUGGGGAGCGUGUGGAAACUUUUUUGGUCUGGGCUGGACUCGUGGCUUAUCAGCUUGUUGGUGAGGUAAGGGCUCCCCAAGGCGAUGACGGGUAGCCGGCCUGAGAGGGCGACCGGCCACACUGGGUCUGAGACACGACCCAGACUCCGACGGGAGGCAGCAGUGGGGAAUAUUGCACAAUGGGCGCAAGCCUGAUGCAGCGACGCCGCGUGAGGGAUGACGGCCUUCGGGUUGUAAUCCUCUUUCAGCACCGACGAAGCGCAAGUGACGGUAGGUGCAGAAGAAGGACCGGCCAACUACGUGCCAGCAGCCGCGGUAAAAC
rnacentral:rRNA from 1 species